CCUACGGGUGGCAGCAGUCGAGAAUCAUUCACAAUGGGGGAAACCCUGCUGGUGCGACGCCGCGUGGGGGAAUGAAGUUCUUCGGAUUGUAAACCCCUGUCAUGUGGGAGCAAAUUAAAAAGAUAGUACCACAAGAGGAAGAGACGGCUAACUCUGUGCCAGCAGCCGCGGUAAUACAGAGGUCUCAAGCGUUGUUCGGAAUCACUGGGCGUAAAGCGUGCGUAGGCUGUCUCGUAAGUCGUGUGUGAAAGGCGCGGGCUCAACCCGCGGACGGCACAUGAUACUGCGAGACUAGAGUGAUGGAGGGGGGACCGGAAUGCUCGGUGUAGCAGUGAAAUGCGUAGAUAUCGAGAGGAACACUCGUGGCGAAGGCGGGUUCCUGGACAUUAACUGACGCUGAGGCACGAAGGCCAGGGGAGCGAAAGGGAUUAGAUACCCCUGUAGUC
rnacentral:rRNA from 1 species